UUGGGGGAUGGGUUCUGUGCACUGUGUUUUCAGAUACUGAUUCCCAUGCCCAGACAGCUGGCAGCAGUCUAGAUGAAGGCCAGGUCAAGCAUCUCUGGUCUCAAUGUCAUGUAAAAAUUGUUUUCCAUCACUUCUGAUUUGUUAGUAAAAGAGCCGGUCAGCCAAUGAGCUGGGCAGAAGAAAUAGGGCGGGACUCCCGAUCCUAGUCAUGGGACCCCAGAAGCGUCAGUGAUCCAUGAAGCAACGGACUUGAUGUUGUAGUGUUCUUAAAGAGACCCCCAAAGACUGCAAGAGUUCACUCUAGUCAAGAAAGAGACAGCCACAUGCCGGAAUACAUGAGAUGAUGGGGAACUGGAACCCUUGGAGGCUCUCUGUAUUUUAUGGGAUGACUUGUAUUUGCUUGAUGUCCAGUCUGUGACACACCAAUGGAAUCGCUUAAUAUUUCUUGCUUAAUAUUUUUGAACCACAGAACACCAACGUGACUGACGUACUUCAGAAUAGCUUGGGCAAACCGUCCGACUUCUUCCCUCCAUGCUAGCAGAAGCCAGCAGAAUGAGAAUUACGACAGGGUCCCAUGGCGAGGAUAGAAUUUCCAACAAGCCAGUCUUUGAGGAGGGUGACCCAUCUAGAGAUGACAAAUGGUCAGUCCCAAAGGCAGCAGCUGGCCCCACUGUAAAUCCAGGUUCAGGGUCCUUUAAAACACACACCUGUUGCAGGGGAGUCCCUGCAGCAAGCCCACAGCUGUGGGU
rnacentral:lncRNA from 1 species